UUGUUUUUUUGUUUUGUUGUUUUGUUUUCUGACUGCUUUGUAACGUAGGAAAGAAUGAAAGAACACAGAUAGGUGUAUACGAGGCUGAUCUGGAACUCUAGGCCACCAGAGUCACCUAGGACGGGAACCCAAAGUUUAUAAUAUGGUCCUGGGAAACAUGGUAACAGAGAACCUGGGAGGCAGUGAGUGCUCAGUAAGUACCAGCUUGAUGCCCAGGGGGUAAAGCAUGCCUGGAUUCCCAGCAAUUAGAAAGUAGAGGCAGAAGGAUCAAGAGAUGGCUUAGCAAGCAAAGAAGCUUGCUGUUAAACCUGAGGAUUGGAGUUUAAUCCCUGGACCGGCGGGAUGCACUCGGUGCGAGGAGCCAACUCCUGAGAGUUGUGCUCUGACCGCCAUAGGUACUGUUCGACAAGAACGUACAUUUCUUAAAAGUUACAAAAGUCACUCUCUGCUACGCGAUGAGUUCUCAGGGAUCCCCAGCUCUGCAAGACCCCAUCUCAAAGAAAUCCAAAAGUAAAUGAAUGAUCUAGAGUGAGAGGGGUAUCUGCAGAUUCGACAUAAAUAGACCAAAUACUGUAGACAUCUGUCAAGCCACCACUUGAUAAUGAGGUGGCGAGCCCCACCCUCCUGCCUCACAGAAGAACCACAUUAUUCCUGGUUUUUCGAGACAGGGUUUCUCUGUGUAUAUAAUAUACAUGUAAAGCUAUUAGAAGUGGCAGGGUUAGGAAAGAAAGAGAAUGGGGGGCGGGGGGUGGGGAGAAACGUGUGUAGCCAUGUGAUCUGUGGCUGGUAACGGGACUGUGUGCUCUGACUGCUUGGUGGCAGUUCUAAUAGAUCGCUAGACUCUAUCAAGCAGAAAUGUUUAUUAACUACAUCUCUCCCUCGACUGGGGGAUGGCACUAAUGGAUGUUUGAAAAUGAUGACCCUGAUAUGCUGAGAACCCUGAACAUCUUUUUGAAACAGGAGAGGGGGGAAAAAAGAUUAAAGGAAGAGCCGGCUAGUCCAUGACAGGUGCAUUUUACUGUAUUCUAAUGUUUUUUUGAAAACAAGCAAUAUUUUUGCCCUGUGUAGUAUGACAGUUUAUAUACUGCCUAAAUAACUUCCUGCCCAUCAGAACAUCAAGACAAUACAUUGUCCAAUUAUGGAAGGGAUGAAGGCUUAAUAAAUAUUCCUCUCUGCACCGGGGAUGUAUGUAGCUCAGUAGGCAGAAUGCUUGCCUUAGUAAGAAUGAAGCCCUUAGUUGGAUGCAUGCUCUCUCUAUGUCAGGCAUGGCGUGCCACCAGGCUAGCUGUACUUUUAAUUACACUGGGAGGUGGAGGCAGGAGGAUCAGAUAAUCUGUGACUUCACAGUUUGAGGGUUGCCUGGGCUACAUGUGGCCCUAUCUCAGAGAAAUCAUUCCUUUUUUUUUUUUUUUUUUCUCGAGACAGGGUUUCUCUGUAUAGCCCUGGCUGUCCUGGAGCUCACUUUGUAGACCAGGCUAGCCUCGAAUUCAGAAAUCCGCCUGCCUCUGCCUCCCGAGUGCUGGGAUUAAAGGUGUGCGCCACCACGCCCGGCGAAGUCAUUCCUUUUUUUUUUGUCGAGAUGCACAUUUAGAAGAUGAUACUGGGAGUUCAAAACUACUCUAAGCCAUCAUGAGUCUAAAGCCAGAAAGAGGCUGCCUGAGACCUGCUACCUGGUGUCAUCUUCUUACUUCCUACAAUUUAUUAUUAGCGCAAUUUUUGUUUGAUUUGGAGUUUUGAGACUGGAUCUUAAGUAUGUAGCCCCAGGUGACCUUGAGUUUG
rnacentral:lncRNA from 1 species